rnacentral:rRNA from 1 species
CAAUAGCGUAUAUUAAAGUUGUUGCAGUUAAAAAGCUCGUAGUUGGAUUUCUGGUUGAAGCGACCGGUCGGGCGUUGAUUCGUCUGCACUGGAGUCGGUUUUGGCCAUCCUCUAGGAAAGUGCGUCUGGUAUUAAGUUAUCGGGCGUACGAUCCAGGUCUUUUACUGUGAAAAAAUUAGAGUGUUUAAAGCAGGCCUUCGCCUUGAAUACAUUAGCAUGGAAUAAUAAGAUAGGACUUUGGUCUAUUUUGUUGGUUUGCAGACCGAAGUAAUGAUUAAUAGGGAUAGUUGGGGGUAUUUAUAUUCCGAUGUCAGAGGUGAAAUUCUUAGAUUUUCGGAAGAUAAACUUAUGCGAAAGCAUUUACCAAGGAUGUUUUCAUUAA